CCAGAAGGAAGCACUGCAUUAGCGAGUCCUGAAGAUCCUUUCCAGCUCUUUGAUUAUAUGACAUUCUGACUAGCACAAAGAGGCACACCUGCAAUCCUACUGAGAGUUCCAUGGAUCAUUAAUGAUUAUUCAUGGUGAAGGAAGCAGAGUUCUUAAGAAUAACUGUACAAUGUGCUAGGAGUGCAACAUCCCUGAGAUAAGGAGAGACUGACUGGAACAGCAUGGGCUCAGUGCCAGUUCCACCCUAAAAGGAGGAUGUUCUUCAAUGCUUUAAAUCAGCAACUCACAUGACCUCAAGAUAUCAAACAUGGGAAUGGCGGGCUGCUUUCCAUGCUCCCCUCUCUGUGGUUCUGGUGGGAAAUACCCAGAGGAGACUUCACCUGCCCUGGGCAGCUUUCCUGAGCCUUGGGCCAGCUCACAGUGAGUCCUAGGCUUCUGUUGUUCCUUGCUGCCUAACGUUUGAGGGCAUUGCAUUCUCUCAGAAGAGGAGUACAACUUGAUUUCAUGUGCUCUCCCAAGAAGUGAAAUUGAUUAGUUUCUUACAGCUUUAUAUUUUUGUCUGUAUUUUUUAAGGUUUCCUACAAACCAUUUUAAAUGUGUCUAAUAAAUGAUGGACAUUCUUUCUUGGAGAUCAUCUGUAAAUGCAUGCAUGCUGGUGGUGGUGGUAUGGGUAGUACAGAGGAGUAGAACAAACAAAAAUCUUUCAGAAAGAAGGGGAUUAUCUUAUGUUUUAUGUAGUUAUCAUUGUAUAAUCUCUUAUACUUUUUAUUUAUUUAUUUGAAAUAGGGUCUUGCUUUGUCACCCAGGCUGGGGUAUAGGAGCACAGUCAUGGCUCACUGCAGCCUCAACCUCCUGAGCUCAAGUGAUCCUCCCACCUUGGUCUCCCAAAAUGCUAGCAUUACAGGCAUGGGCCACUGUGCUCAGCCCCUUUAUGUUUUUUAAUUGUGAUGAUAUUUCCCUGCGUGGUAUUUUUUUUCGUGUACAAAUGCCAAAAGUCUAAUAAAAGAAGUUGAUAUUUCU
rnacentral:lncRNA from 1 species